GGAAGGAGCCGCGUUUGGGAAAGCACACCCCGGAGGCAAUCCAGGCCAGCCGCGUUGCACCGGUUUUGGUUGGGUCAUUUCUCAGAACUGAUUUAGAGCCUGCAUACCUCAACCUGUUCAAAGUGGAACAAGCAAAUGAAACCCAAACCCAAUGGCAGGGAUCUCUGGCCGAGGCAGCAGUCAAAGGCUUCUCAGCUUCCCAGGAGAAGAAUCCUGAGCAAAGAGAUUUUUCAGAAAAUAUGACGGUGACAAGUGGUCUCCACCCCCUCACAUGGCUGAGCUGUCUCCAGCACCUGUACAGUAAUAGGAAUUUUCACCCCAUGUCAGAAAAUGGAUUUAUAACA